ensembl:lncRNA
UUUCCAGUCUUUUCCACAAAAUCAUUAUGUAUGAUGUUUGCUAGCAUUCUGUGGUGGAAAUGAAAUUUUAAACAUUUUGGAUUUAAAAUGGAAGACUCCUUUCCCCUGCUAAGUCUAAUCUCAUAGCUAAGAUUUCAAGUUUGUUGAAUUGUUUUUUGUUGUUGUUGUUGUUGUUGUUUUGCAUAAAAACUACAGUUUGAUUAGAAAUUAAUCAAUAAAAAUAUUAUGCUCACGUUUUGUUUACAUUGAUUGUUCUUUGUUUUCACACACCACACAUCUCAUAUUACAUUUGAAGCAUGAUAUUCACACUGAAAAAAAAAAAAAAAAAAAAAAAAAAAGACUUUUUUUAGAGGCAAAUCUUGAUAAUGAACAACUGAAGGCUAAUUUGUUUAUAAAUUAAUAUAAAUAAUUUCCAUUCAAUAUUUAUUUAAAUGGUUCAGUUAUUUCACUUGUGGUAAAUACUAAAUACUAACAUAUUUUUGAAAAAUGUAAUAAAACUACAUUUUUUAUAAUGGAUUUUCAUAUUUAUCAUGCCAAAGGAAAUAGAGAAGAAGAGUGGAAGAGCGAGAGAGAGAGAGAGAGAGAGAGAGUGAGUGAGAGAAAGUACUGAAAGAGUUAAGGGAGGAGGGUCAGGAAGAGAGCUGUGAUGCCUGAUUCCUGUCUGUGUCAGUCAUGCUAGGAAGGACCAGCACAGGAAGAGAAAGGGGUAAGAGUUCAUUCAGCACAUGUUACAGGGUCACCACCCCAUUCAGCACCAACAAAAACUGCAGUUUCUGCUUUGCUUUCUCCUGUGCUCUUGUACAGGCACACACACAUUUUUAGAAUCCUGGUCUAUUUAAAAUGUUGGCAAAGGUGCAUUGAGAAGCAGUGCACUAUUAGUAUUAGAGGACAUGAGAACAGAUCAGUGUAGUGAUCUUUGGAACAUUUCCAGUAACACAGAGAUUAUACGCUAUGAUUCUAAACAGCAUUGCUGUGGACAAAAGUACUUUGUUGUUAGCAUGUUUUCUGUGGUGCAGACAAGCAUUAGAGGUCGGUAAUUCAGACUGGGGUCCUGAGAUCCCCAGGGGCACACAAAG